rnacentral:rRNA from 1 species
UUCUGGCUCAGGAUGAACGCUGGCGGCGUGCCUAAUACAUGCAAGUCGAACGGAGACUGUAGCAAUACGGUCUUAGUGGCGAACGGGUGAGUAACGCGUUGGUGACCUGCCUCAGAGAGAGGGAUACCAGUUCGAAAGGACUGCUAAAACCGCAUGAGCUUGGAAGGUUUAGAAACUUUCAAGGAAACAGCGAAAGCUGCUCUGAGAGGGGCCUGCGUCCCAUCAGCUAGUUGGCAGGGUAACGGCCUACCAAGGCGAUGACGGGUAGGGGACCUGAGAGGGUGACCCCCCGCAAUGGAACUGAAACACGGUCCAUACACCUACGGGUGGCAGCAGUAGGGAAUAUUGGGGAAUGGGCGGAAGCCCGACCCAGCAACGCCGCGUGUGCGAAGAAGGCCUUCGGGUUGUAAAGCACUUUUUAGCGGGAAGAGGAAGGACGGUACCGCUAGAAUAAGUCUCGGCUAACUACGUGCCAGCAGCCGCGGUAACACGUAGGAGACGAGCGUUAUCCGGAUUUACUGGGUGUAAAGCGCGUGUAGGCGGUCGAGUAAGUUGGAUGUGAAAGCUCCCGGCUCAACUGGGAGAGGUCGUUCAAUACUGCUUGGCUAGAGGACAGCAGAGGGGAGUGGAAUUCCGAGUGUAGCGGUAAAAUGCAUAGAUAUUCGGAAGAACACCAGUGGCGAAGGCGGCUCUCUGGGCUGGUCCUGACGCUCAGACGCGAAAGCUAGGGUAGCAAACGGGAUUAGAGACCCCGGUAGUCCUAGCCGUAAACGAUGUGGACUUGGCGUUGGAGGGUUUAAAUCCUUCAGUGCCGCAGCAAACGCGAUAAGUCCACCACCUGGGGACUA